UACGGAGGGUGCAAGCGUUAAUCGGAAUUACUGGGCGUAAAGCGCACGCAGGUGGCUGAGUCAGUCGAUUGUGAAAGCCCUGGGCUUAACCUGGGAAUUGCAGUCGAUACUACUCAGCUAGAGUAUGGGAGAGGGUAGUGGAAUUCCUGGUGUAGCGGUGAAAUGCGCAGAUAUCAGGAGGAACACCGGUGGCGAAGGCGGGUCUCUGGGCCGAUACUGACGCUGAGGAGCGAAAGCGUGGGGAGCGAACAGG
rnacentral:rRNA from 1 species